rnacentral:rRNA from 1 species
UACGGAGGGAGCUAGCGUUGUUCGGGAAUUACUGGGCGUAAAGGGCUCGUAGGCGGCCAACUAAGUCGGACGUGAAAUCCCCAGGCUCAACCUGGGAACUGCGUCCGAUACUGGAUGGCUUGAAUCCGGGAGAGGGAUGCAGAAUUCCAGGUGUAGCGGUGAAAUGCGCAGAUAUCAGGAGGAACACCGGUGGCGAAGGCGGUUCUCUGGGCAGUAACUGACGCUGGAGGAGCGAAAGCGUGGGGAGCGAACAGG